UCCUUGGUGGUCCAGUUGUUAAGACUCCAUACUUCUACUGCGGAGGGCCCAGGUCCAAUACCUGGUGGGGGAA
rnacentral:tRNA from 1 species